UAAAGGGAUACUAUGCAGAGCAACUGGGAACCUAAUUCUGACCAAAAAGGAGGAAUUGUUUGGCUAAUUGGAAGUGACAGAAACCUUGGGAGAAAGCAACCGCAUACCAAGGAUAAUUAUAAGAAGAAGAGAAGACAUGGAGAAGAGGAGGGAGUAGUUGUGACCGUGGAGGCAGAGAAUGGAGUAAUGUGAUCAUAAAUCAAGGAAUGCUGACAGCCACUAAAGCUGGAGAAGGCCAAGGACAGAUAUUCAAUCCUCCCGUAGAAGUACAGCCCUGCUAAUGCAUUGAUUUUGGACUUCUGGCCUCAGAACUGUAAGAGAAUAAAUUUCUAUUGUUUUAAGC
rnacentral:lncRNA from 1 species